AAUGGGGCGGCUCUGGCCAGAAGCGGAGGAGGUGGCACCCGGGACCGAGCUGGGGUCUUGGAGGGAGAGAGGAUGGCAUCGUCGAGCCCUGACUCCCCAUGUUCCUGCGACUGCUUUGUCUCCGUGCCCCCGGCCUCAGCCAUCCCGGCUGUGAUCUUUGCCAAGAACUCGGACCGACCCCGGGACGAGGUGCAGGAGGUGGUGUUUGUCCCCGCAGGCACUCACACUCCUGGGAGCCGGCUCCAGUGCACCUACAUUGAAGUGGAACAGGUGUCGAAGACGCACGCUGUGAUUCUGAGCCGUCCUUCUUGGCUAUGGGGGGCUGAGAUGGGCGCCAACGAGCAUGGUGUCUGCAUUGGCAACGAGGCUGUGUGGACGAAGGAGCCAGUUGGGGAGGGGGAAGCCCUGCUGGGCAUGGACCUACUCAGGUGCAGACCCUGCCCUUCCUCAUCUGCCUGACACACCAGAAAUCUAGGGGCUGAGUUUUGACCUGGGCCCAUCCAUCCCUCCCCCAGCCUGGUUCACAGGGGCCUCCUCCUCUCUGCAGACUUUGCCCUUGUGCCUUCGUGAAGAAGGCUGCAGCAGCAGCCACCUUUGGGCCUCUCCUGGCCCAGAAAUAGAGCAGUGGUUAUUUAUUUAUUUUCAGUUGAAAUCUUACAUAGAGUCCCAAUUUAUAAAACCAGUAAUAGUGGAUGGAGCAGCUCUGGGUGGAGAGAG
rnacentral:sRNA from 1 species